CUUUAUUCAUAAAAAAAGGGGGAUUUUUCACACCUGGACAAUAACUCAAAAAGGCUUUCACCAAUGUCCAUGAAACUUUGGUGAAUUGUUUAUAUCUAUUGACAUAAGCUCCCUUUCCCUUUUUAUUAAUUUUAGAUUUUAUGUUUUCUUAAGUAAUGAAUUUUUAUACUUAAAAAAGGGGGAUUUUAUGCAGUUUUGGUGAAACUUAAGAGCAACGGCCGUAUCAUGUGCUAAAGCGCAUCCCUUUAUUGAAAUGUGUUGUAGUUUUUACAUAUUAUUAUUUCUUUAUUUUAAUUAUACAAAUUUUGUAUUGUUAAAUAUUUAAAGGGUGUGGAGUCUCAACAGGGUGAAAUUUUCAGGACAAAAGGGAGGUAAUUCCUUUGUUAUACUCAUUAUACUUGAAAUUUCCUGAGUGUUUAUAUGGAAUAUAACUUUUUUAAUUAAAAUAUUCACUUUUGUACACAUUUUCUUUAAAUAUCAGAUGUAUACUUGCUAAAAUUACUUUUAUUUAGAGUUCUGUAAAUAAAAAAAAAAUGUAAGCAGAGCUCUAGCUAUAGAUAAUAGAUUUGGAGGGUGGGAGAAAUUGUGGGUAACUACAAUUGAUUAGGUGAAAUUUCAAAAGACUUAAAAAGUGCAUCUGAUAUUUAUUUUUACAUAAUGUUAUUUCUGAAAGCAAAUGGACAAUAAGAUGAGGACAUAAACCACCUUCCAGGUUAGGAUAGCAGCUCUUAAGGAAGAUGGUCAAUUAAAUCUUCAACCCAGUCUGAGGCCUUACCAUGAAAAAUAUGUGGUUGUUGAAAUUACAAUGUUUUCAUGGUGUGGGGAGUAAGACUUGAAUAUCUGAUAUUGUUAACAUGAUGGUUAGCAUCACAAGUUUCCUUUGGGUAACUUGCUUGAGGAGUAAAGAGAGCUGUUUAAGUUGAAAGUGUCACCUUUGCUGCCUUGUGUGGUACAAUCUUCAGACAAUAUCCUGCAAACCGUGGCUGAACUGUUACUAUCUUUUUUUAGUAGAAUCCUUAGACAGUAAUCUUGUGGCAGAAUGAGUUGUAAACAAAUUGUUUUUAUUCCUGUAUUGAGUUUCAAAUUGGAUAUUUUUUUAUUUAUAUUAUUUGUAUUCCAUUUGCAUUCAAUUAUUGUUUUUUAAUUGAUGAAUCAUUGAAACUUAAAUUUUGCGGGGUCCUAAAGGACUUUCUUAGAGGGGGCCAGCGCAAUUGAUUAAACAAAAUUUUUCCCGCAACAGGGAGAGGAGACAUCCCCAUAAAUAUGCCUUUGAAAUGGGGUGUUAAAGAAGAUUUGUAUUGUUUGUUUGUUUGUCCAUCAUCAGCUCUCAUCCACAGCUUGGUAGAUUUUCAUUGAAACUUUCAGCUGAUUUUCUGUACUAAAGGCAGUAUGUUUUUU